ensembl:lncRNA
AAACUGUGUACAAGUAAAGAUACAUAACGCAGCACUGAACACUUCUGGUAGCUCCACAAGCAUAGCCAAUGCUCAGCUCCCCGAGAAGAUGCCAACAAACAAUUCCAAGAAUCAUCUUUGUGGAUGAUCUGCUGGACUCUCUCUAGAUCUCUAUCUUGAAUUGAUGUUCCCAGAAUGGGACACGGUAUUCCAGUAGCACAGGAUGCUGGGAUUCUGGGGAGGAGACUUCACACCAGCACCAGCAGAGUGAUGUAAGUUCCCCAUGCAGCAGAGGGAAGGGACAUGCACUGCUGGGGCCAGAUGGAAGGCAGGCUGUGGCAGACUGAAGACAUGGGCAGAGAAAGCCCAGCCACCAGAGGAGGAGAUGACAUAGGGCUUGUCAAGGCCCACCAGCCCGUGAUGGAAAUGGGUGGCCAAUUUAGCCUAGUGGUGAACGUACAGGAUGGAUCUACAUCCUAAGUAACAACGUUGUUUAAUUAAAAAAGAAAAUAAAAAAGUUAAUGAAGCAAGUCUUGUGCCAAUAAAUGGUAAAUUAUCACUGAAAAGGCUUGAUACACACUCAUCUAGCAUA